GCAGAGCCAGGUUUACAACUCAAGUCCUUUUAACUCCCAGGCUUUAUCCACUAGGCCAUGCUGCUUCUCAUUUGUCUUGCUGUCAUGAAUGAGCGGGCCCGCUCCACCCUGGCCCACAGGGCAUGGGGCUCCUCCUUUCCAAGCAGCCUCCUUGAAAGGCAAUGGGAAUAGUAGGCCCCAAGUGGGUCCCUCAGGCUGGAUCCCUCCUUCCAUUUCUCUUUCUUCCCAUGCCAGAUACCAAAGUGGGGAAGGGACCAGAUCUGAAGGCCCACAAGCUUCCUAAUAAUAUUUGUGGUACUGGCUAAGCACAAUUAUUAUUAUUAUUAUACACCUCAUGCCAGAAGAUGACACGUCAGCUGUUGCCCUUUGUCCUUUGGGGUGAGGCUGCAAAGACAGAGGGGAGGCCAGAGGGCCGCCCCUCCCCAGGCCCAUGUAGAGAUCACUCAACUUAAACCCCUGGGAAACAAGGGAAUGAAGGAAGAACAAGGUUGUCCCUUCUGAAGGAAAGGGGAGGACGGGAGGGUGGUUCUGUGGGAAGACAUUGGGCGUGGAAACUCGGGUGAUAAAUACGGAGGGGAGAUGUGAGGGUUAGGAUCCGAACUGGGGCGGAGCUCCUCGGGGGACAGACCCAGCCAGAGCCACGAGGCACCUUGGCCAGGACUGAUACUACCACAAACUCUGCAAAACGAUCCCUUCUCUUCUUCUCUAGAUUUCCAUUAUCACCUUCGGCAGUCUUGCUGAGGCUGGAGACCUCGGGAACAGCUUCGCCCAUGAGCCAGAGGCACCAUCCCAAAGGAUCCCGUCCAAGAAGAAGGUGGCAGCACCCAUUUUGGUGUUUGAAUUUCCUCGGGAGACAGAAUCCUGUUGCCCAGAAGCUUUCCAGUGGAAACUGAAGUCUUCCUCUCCCUUGAGCGGCGGAACUCGGAGCACCCAGAGCGGAAGUUUCCAUACCGACUGCCGAUGCCAAAGGCUUGGGACACCAGGAAUAGAACCUCCACUGAUCUACUCCCUGCCUCUGGCAAAAUUAUGCACUACACCUCGUUCUCCUCCCCGAUGGACACAGGAAAGCAACAGAGGAGAGAGGCUGGGCCUGAUCAGUGGAACAAGCCAACCCUCAGCACCUAAGAGGAGAUCAGAGGAACAGCAGCCCGAGCUUCUCUGGAAUCCAUUAACCUGAUGCCUCCCAGGACCUGACCUACUUCCAAAGCCCCCAGAAGAUGAUCCCGUUUCCUUUCCUAACUGACUGGGCUCUUUCCUGGCUUGAUUCUCAUACUGUUGUAAUGGCUUUGUUGGAAGUGUGAUGCAAUCAAUACAGAUGGAUUAGUACAGAUA